rnacentral:lncRNA from 1 species
GUCACUGGGGCAGGAGCAGAGGCUGGUGAAGCGCUCACAAGUCUUUAGGAAAUGGCACUGCAUUCACCAUCAGUAGGACUCAAGCAAAAACCAAAGAGCUAGAGGAGUUUCAAAGGAGAAGUGGAGGUCUCUUGCAGACUUCAGGGACACCUCAGAGAAACUGUGCAUCUCUGUGAAGGCCAUAUCUGCCUUGUAUCUGUCAAAAGUGUCCCCCCAAGAACCAAAGACUCUGGUGCAAUCUGAAUUAGGAAAGAGGCCAAGACUAACAAAGGUAAAAUGUAAUUUUGGAUAAAAUGCAUGAUGAUUUGGUUUGUGCAACUGUUUGGAGUAAUUGCAAAUUGAACUGCAUUGUCAUAAACACAAAUGUUACUCGUCUGAUUUGCCAUUUCUG